rnacentral:rRNA from 1 species
UAGGGAAUAUUGCACAAUGGGGGAAACCCUGAUGCAGCGACGCCGCGUGAGUGAUGAAGGCCUUCGGGUCGUAAAGCUCUGUCGUAUGGGACUAACACAAUGAAGGUACCAUGCAAGAAAGGAUCGGCUAACUUCGUGCCAGCAGCCGCGGUAAGACGAGGGAUCCUAGCGUUGUUCGGAAUUAUUGGGCGUAAAGCGGGUGUAGGCGGAUUUAUAAGUCAGGUGUGAAAUCCCAGGGCUCAACCCUGGAAGUGCACUUGAUACUGUAGAUCUUGAGUGCGGUAGAGGUUACUGGGAAUUCCUGGUGUAGUGGUAAAAUACGUAGAUAUCAGGAGGAAUACCGGAGGCGAAGGCGAGUAACUGGGCCAACACUGACGCUGAGACCCGAAAGCGUGGGGAUCAAACAGGAUUAGAUACCCACGUAGUCCCUG